rnacentral:rRNA from 1 species
GACGGAGGAUGCAAGCGUUAUCCGGAAUGAUUGGGCGUAAAGCGUCCGCAGGUGGCAGUUCAAGUCUGCUGUCAAAGACCGGGGCUUAACUUCGGAAAGGCAGUGGAAACUGAACAGCUAGAGUAUGGUAGGGGCAGAGGGAAUUCCUGGUAUAGCGGUGAAAUGCGUAGAUAUCAGGAAGAACAUCGGUGGCGAAGGCGCUCUGCUGGACCAUAACUGACACUCAGGGACGAAAGCUAGGGGAGCGAAUGGG